UCCUCGUUGACCGAGGCAGUCUGUCGUGAAAUUGCAACACGACAUAGGGGUUGCGCUCGUUACCCCACUUAAGGGUACACCUCACGGCACGAGCUGACGGCAACCAUGCAGCACCUGUGUAGCACCCUCGAAGGCGGCCAUCCUUUCGGACAGCUUGCAGCUACAUGUCAAGCCCUGGUAAGGUUCUUCGUUUACCGUCGAAUUAAACCACAUGUUCCACCGCUUGUGCGGGUCCCCGUCUAUUCCUUUGAGUUUUAGUCUUGCGACCGUACUCCCCAGGCGGUGUGCUUAACGCGUUAGCUUUUUUUGACGACACUAGCAGGGUCGAUACUGCUAAUAUCCAGCACACAUCGUUUACAGCGUGGACUA
rnacentral:misc_RNA from 1 species